UGGUCCUGUUCAUACAGAAUAAUUUACCAGCUCUUUCCUGUCUUAUUCUCCAUCUCAAACUUGGCUGGGCACAUGGUUUAUGUGGACACACCUAUCAGGUACUGACCACAACACGGAGCACCCAAGGAAACAGCACAGCUGUUGGCCUCUCUAAAGCAUCCAGGCUGCUGGGAGACAAGUUUCUUAGUUUGGCACCUGGCCUUGAAGAAACAAAGAAAUUCGCUCAGGUGAUCCAAAAGAAAUGAACUUGAAGAAAGAAUGAAAGAAGCACACCCCGGUGGACAAAGGUGUGUCUAAAGGCCAAUGGUGAGGAAUCAGGAAAAAAAAGGGAACCCCUGAAGACCAAGCAGAAGAAUCUAGAUUUAAGAGAACUGUGUGCGACACCACAGAUUUUCUAGCAACAUGGACUCGUGCAUAGUAUAAAUCAUCCUUAAACGGCUCUGGGGUGACACUGGCACAGGAUGGAAGGUGGGGAGCAGUCCCCCAGCAGUGGUCACGGAGCUUCCUCUGCUUCUCAGUGUGGUCAUUUUCUUUUUUU